UAAAAUUAAAAAGAAAACUUACUACCGAGAGGGAGAGGAACUCCUCCAACCGAUCAGCAUUCAGGGACAGAUCGGUGCGCCGGAUAUGACAUCACUUAUCUUCCCAAUUGUUGCUAGACCUCAGCCACCUGGUGAGAUACUAUGCUGGUCGGCCUGGUGUCAAGAGAAGCGGCCAUCUUCCUCUCUUGUGUCAGUCAUUCAGCACAUCAACGCCGGGGAUGCUGUGCAUGUGUUUGGAUGGCAAAGAUGCUGAGUUGGUUUAGAUAAAAGGCUCCUCUUCUCUUCAAAAUUUUGUUUUCCUUUAAUUAAUAACCAAAACAUCGACAAAAGAGUGUGUGAGGAGUGAAGUAGAAAUCCAAAACUGCCACUAGAAAGGUUGCAGCGCACCAGAACAGAACGUGUGUUCUGUGUCCGUCUCCAAGGAGGAAAUUUCUUCUUCUUUGUGAGGAAAUCCAGCUUCCAAAUCGUUGCACCUAGCUUCAGAAACCAAAUCAGAAAUCACCACACCUGAACGGCGAUUCUGCUCGGAUGCAGAACUGGAAGAGAAUACUGAAGAACCCUAUUUAGAUUCUUUUCAGAAGGAAUAUUUUAGAGCAGACUUAUAGUUUGUUUUAACUUGAGG